ensembl:ncRNA F26A10.27 ncRNA
GCACCCCGUUGUUUUAUUUUGACUGUUGGUAUCACGGUUGUGUUGAGUUUUAUCGAAAGUUGUUAACUGUUAAAAUAUAGAAAAACAAAUUUCACGUGUUUUAUUGGUUGACAAUUUUUGAUAAAGCCAAAGUAAACCGAGAUAUU